rnacentral:rRNA from 1 species
GGUAAACCUGAGAAACCCGAAAGAUUGAACGAGAAGAUUCAGCGUAUCUCAUCUUCGGUCAUAGAUAGUUUGUGUGACGAAAUUUUGACUUGUCAAAAUUUUGCACCGGCCGUUUAUGUUUAUCGUUGGUGAAUGCGUGCACUUCUUCUCUAGUAAAACGUCGCGAUCCGUUGAAUAUUGAUCUAAGAGUUUCAAUGGAGUCUGUUCAGUAUGCAUGCUUUUAGUAUGUUUUAUUGUACAAACUUGGAAUUUCUGAUCAAUUAAUUCGACGGUAUUAUUUAAUUAAUGUAAAAGUGUAAAGUCGCUUAUAAAGCGUUUGAUAUUGUGACAAGCAUAUUCGUGUUUGAUUAGUUAUCGGAUUUAAUGCCGAUGCUAAUCCCGGAUUGUUGUUAGUUACAAUUAUCUCAAACAGACAUAAAACACAAAUCUGCGACGCUAAAGUUUUGGGUAAUUUCAGGACCCGUCUUGAA